AAAAACUAAUUCUCUAUCACUAGCAUUGUUACAUAUGAAAAACAAUAAGGAAAAAAGAUUGUUCAAAGUAUAGAAGUUCACCUCAUCUAAGAUAAGCAGACCUCAUUUUCUCUUCAGAAUCCCUGCAAUAAUUUUCUGUGAUAUCUCUGAUCUUGACCCAGAUCCCAAAAGCAUAUUAUAUGUGGUAAUAAUCACGCAUGCUUUCCCACGUGGACUUUCUUUUUUAUCCGAUGUAAAUUGACAAAGGAGUGCCUCAUUUAUGUGAGUGCACUCCUUGAAGUAGGAGGACCACUUCUCUGUUGCAUUAGCAUUCAAAGCCAAGAUAAUGCAACUUUUUUUCAACUCACAAACAACAGAUAUCCCCAAGGAAUACCUUCUGAUACCAAAUGGUAAGAAUGCAAUGUUAGAUAUUAUUUUUCCUGCAAAGAGGAUUAAUAAAUAAAUAAGAAAUGCUUUGAUGAACUGGUAGGUUGUUAAUAAAUACCAUUUGUAAUGAUUUUCCGAAGAGCUUUUCGUUCGAAUGCUUUGAUGUCCAUGUAUUUUUUCAUUUCAAUGUUCAACAUUGUCAUAUUCUGCAAAAACAAAAGAAAUAUACGGUUUACAUAUAUCGUUAAAGACAUGCCUUACUUGGCAAAGAGCAAACAUGCGUGAAUAAUAUAUAGUACGAGUAACUAACUUCUUUUUUCUUUUUCCAUAGUAUGAGUAACUAAUUAUUUCCUUAAGAAGUAUGUAUAGCAAAAUGUUGAUUCUCAAAUAUAAAACAUAAAUGAGGCACUCCUUUGUCAAUUUACAUCGGAUAAAAAGGAAAGUCCAUGUGGGAAAGCAUGCGUGAUUAUUACCACAUAUAAUAUGCUUUUAGGAUCUGGGUCAAGAUCAGAGAUAUCACAGAAAAUUAUUGCAGAGAUUCUGAAGAGAAAAUAAGGUCUGCUUAUCUUAGAUGAGGUUGAGGCAACCUCUGAUGUCCUGCUCAAUCGGGCUAUUACUAAUAUAAACCACUACUCUAAACUUGGGCUUGCGGGUGCGUUUGCAAAUAAAAUAUGCUAAUGUUUUCUGUUUUACAUUUUUCGUGUUUCUUAUGACAAUCAUUUGAACAGUUGGUGGUAGAGACACACGUGAAAACGGACAAAUGAGAUAUCUCCUAUCGAUAGGACCAAAUGUAUAUGAGGCAAAUGCCUCAAAUCUAAGAAAAAGAGGACUUUUGAUGAAGCCAGAUUUAAGAAAGUCCGAUGUUCACUUCUUGUUCAGUUUUACAGUGUGCUUCGCCGACUUAAAGAAAAAUCAUUGGAAGAAUUUGUAGUUUUCUAUUUAACUUCAAACAUAUUCUUCAGUAAGUAGAAGCUAGCUCUCUUGGUUAUUAUACCGACUCCUGUUAUAAUUUCUGCCAUCAGGCUUUGCUUGGAAUAAACCCGAACAAACUUAGGGCAUGUGAGUACUUGGUUGACCAUAACGAGAAACAAGGUAGAAAGAUAGUGGUAUGCUCGGAUCAACUUUAUGUCCUUGCAUUAUACUCAAAGAAAUUAAAGAAACCAUCGAUAAUAGUGGAUACAAGGUACUAUCAAGAACUAAAAACUUUUUUAAAAAAAGUUUUUGUUUCAUGAUAUUUUCUUUAACAAAUGUAAUCCAGCAAAUGGGAGAGGACUUAUAUUCUUAGAGAGUUCAGACAUGGUGAGAAAGUAGAUACAAUUUUUGUCUCUGAGGUAUGCGGUUCAUCUUCUAACCAUAUACUUAUUUAAUCAUUCUCAUACAGAAGUUAUAAAUUAACUUGUAAUUCUUUUAUUUUUUGACAGAUUGAUUAUUUCAAUGCGGAUGUAGAAGCUGAUGUGGUAAUACAGCUUUGUUAUGAGGAGCUGAUAGCUGUUAAUGCUCAACCGCUGGGUCUCCUUCUCGGGGGAAAGGUAUGCACUGGUGUAAUUUUUCCCCCUAUCAUAGAGGCCACGUCUGGAGAUGGAGGGUUGAAUCCAUUAUAUUUCUAUUUUUUAGUGUCUGAUGAUGUUAAACAGGAAAUCGAUUGGUUUGACAAGUUGAAGGAAUUUUAUGUGCACCAAGGCUAUGCGUUUGAGGCAGAGGACCUUCCUCCAAAAAACUAUUUCAAUUUGUCCUUUGAGACUGAGGAAAGCAACUUGAGCUUCUGCAAAAUCUGCUGAAUACUGAAGAACAGUUGCUAUCACAUCAGAGUAUCGUUCAAAUGCCGGUAUGAGAAGGCAAGUCUUCAAAAGGGAGAAUGAAAGUAAGGAAUCGAAGGUUGAUGAUUGAAGAUGAAAGAUAGGAUGCUGAUUGCUUCUACCUUCUUUCGCAGAUGUUAACAUUUUGAGUGAUGAUGUUAAGCUUUCUCUGUUUCCUUUUCCUUGUUUCAAUGCAUAUGCAACUUUUAUGACGUGUAUCAGACUUUUAUUCAUCCUUGGCUACCUACAGUUUUAAAACAUAAAAUUCGGGAGUUUAGAAAUAUUGUGUUCAUGUGCUUCA